AUUGAACGCUGGCGGCAGGCUUAACACAUGCAAGUCGAGCGGAGAUGAGGUGCUUGCACCUUAUCUUAGCGGCGGACGGGUGAGUAAUGCUUAGGAAUCUGCCAUUUAGUGGGGGACAACAUUCCGAAAGGAAUGCUAAUACCGCAUACGUCCUACGGGAGAAAGCAGGGGAUAUUCGGACCUUGCGCUAAAUGAUGAGCCUAAGUCGGAUUAGCGAGUUGGUGGGGUAAAGGCCUACCGAGGCGACGAUCUGUAGCGGGUCUGAGAGGAUGAUCCGCCACACUGGGACUGAGACACGGCCCAGACUCCUACGGGAGGCAGCAGUGGGGAAUAUUGGACAAUGGGCGGAAGCCUGAUCCAGCCAUGCCGCGUGUGUGAAGAAGGCCUUUUGGUUGUAAAGCACUUUAAGCGAGGAGGAGGCUACUAGUACUAAUACUACUGGAUAGUGGACGUUACUCGCAGAAUAAGCACCGGCUAACUCUGUGCCAGCCGCCGCCGUAACAC
rnacentral:rRNA from 1 species